GGGUGAUGGAUUUAUAGGUCAAGACAUAUGGUUUCAGAACACAGCGGGAGCGGCGAAACACCAAGCUGUGGCUCUUCGCGUUGGCGCCGACCAAUCUGUGAUAAACCGUUGUCGCAUAGAUGCCUUUCAGGACACUCUCUACGCACACUCCAACAGGCAGUUUUACAGAGACUCUGUCAUCACUGGCACUAUUGACUUCAUUUUUGGAAAUGCUGCUGUUGUUUUCCAAAAGUGCAACCUGGUGGCCCGAAAGCCGAUGAGUAACCAAAAGAAUAUGGUGACGGCUCAAGGAAGAGAAGAUCCAAAUCAAAAUACAGGAACUUCAAUUCAACAAUGUAACCUAACACCGAGUUCAGAUCUUAAGGCUGUUGUGGGUUCCAUCAAAACUUAUCUGGGUCGACCUUGGAAGAAGUAUUCCAGGACUGUUAUCAUGCAGUCGUCGAUAGACAGCCAUAUUGACCCAACAGGAUGGGCAGAAUGGGAUGCCCAGAGUAAGGACUUUUUGCAAACGUUGUAUUAUGGAGAGUACAUGAACAGUGGAGCAGGUGCUGGAACUAGCAAGAGAGUGAAUUGGCCUGGUUACCAUAUCAUCACAAGCGCAGCAGAAGCCAGCAAGUUCACAGUAACACAACUCAUCCAAGGAAAUGUUUGGUUGAAGAACACUGGUGUCAACUUCAUUGAAGGUCUCUAAAUGCUUCUAUUGUGCUUUUCAUUUCAGAGGAAAUUAAGUAAAGGAAAACAUGCUUACCAUGGUUUUCUCAACUGCUGCUCACACUGUGUUUGAAAAUGAAAUAUUAAAUAAUUCCCAUCAGACCAACUUUCAUUUGUUUCACUAAGGCUAUACCUACCUUCAUUUUACAUAAUUUUUAUAAUAAAAAGUUAAAAAGUAAUAUAUUAAAAAGGUAAACGCAAAACAUUCAUCCUUUAAAUGAAUUUAUUAAAUGCACAGAGUAAUUAAGAAACAUUUUAUUUCUUAUGAUAUCAUUGAGGAGAGACACUGGAUCAUAAUCAUGAUAUACACUAUCAACUUUUUAGUCUUUUGGUGCUUAUAAAUAUAUUUUUAGACUAUUUCACGAGUUUUUCUUUUUUUCUAGUCUUUGUUUAUUUAUUUGUGUUUGACUUUUGUGUGCUUCUUCUUUUUUCUACAGUCUCACACUCUAAGAUUCUUGUUGUACUAUUACAGUUUCCGAUCUGAUUCCAAAACAUACACAAAAAUAAAAUUACGACAAUGAUAUUUUGACAACACUUUUUGACACAAUAAAGAAAGAAAAGAGAUAUGAAUGAAAUGAUUUCUUUUUUCUUUGGAAAAUGUUACUUUAACAACGUCAUUUGACAACAAUUUUGACAACCACAGGUGGCGUGCUCUGAUUGGUUCUUUUAAUUGAAUUUUUUAAAAUGAAAAAUCCUUAAGAGAAGGGCAUUUGUGGAAAAGUAUUUGCUGGAAAUGAAUUGUAUUGGCGUCACUGCUACGCUCUCUCCACGACAACACUUAUCUCUCUCCAGGAAACCAAACUCUCCCUCCAGCAUUCUGAAAUGUUUGCACGCCAUCGAAAUCGCGUUCGUGCAUAUCCAUCCACCAUUGAAGUAUUGAAGUUGCAUAUUGAAUGCUAGCAUUGUCAGCUGUUGUCGGAAGGAGAGGUUUUUUUGGAUCUUAUUUCAUCGUUGAAGACAUUAAUCGAAAGGUUUCGUUAUUUUCCCCUUUCGAAUGCUCUCACGUCCGUCCGCCAUUGAAGUGUUGGGAGGAAGUGUGGAAAGGGGGCUAGCAUUGACUUGAUGUAUUUAAAACUUUGUCAAUAUUGUACAGAGUUAUAUGAAAUGAGUACAAAGUUGGUAGCCUAUUGUUUGAACCAAGGCAAGGUGUGGGGAAUUGUGAGAAAUGUGCCUUAGGAGACUGUGUAAUCGCUUACAGAUAACUGUAAUCGCUUACCAGAGAAAAUAUUAAGUUUUGUACCGAAAGUUGGUGGCUGCUCCCUGGGUUUUUUGGAGUUGCUCACAAGUGGGUGGUUCGUGAUAAGUUUGGUAGAACUAAGUGUUGCAAGUGCUCACAAGUAGGCUUUUUUGUUUGAACCAAGGCGAGGUGUGGGGAAUUAUGAGAAAUGUGCCUUAGGAGACUUUGUAAUCGCUUACAGGAUAGUUGUAAUCGCUUACCAGAGAAAAUAUUAAGUUUUGUACCGAAAGUUGGUGGCUGCUCCCUGGGUUUUUUGGCGUUGCUCACAAGUGGGUGGUUCGUGAUAAGUUGGGUAGAACUAAGUGUUCACAAGUAGGCUUUUUUGUUUGAACCAAGGCGAGGCGUGGUGCUCACCCUGUAAGCGAUUACAAUAGCACCAGGCCAGUGCCAUUGCUGCAGGAACUUACAUUCCAACCCACACAAACCUCUACUUCGUCUUCCCCACAAACAUAGGGGUCACUUAACUUAGAUAAUGAAUCAAAAUUAAAUAACACAUGGAAUCAACCGUACAAUAAAAUAUCCUUUCCAACAAUAACUAUCUCUGUUCACAAUCAUAUUAAGUGGUCCAAAUACAAAUAUACAUACUUAAUAAAUCUACCAAAUACUACACUAUUACAAAAAUUACAUAACUCUCAACCAAGUUUUGGAAUGUAUCCGGUGUAUGGAGUUCUACAAGCUUUGCUCUUGAAACGCCGUCGACGAAAUACACCCCCAACGACGACAGAGGCGAAACCUAGCUCGGAAGACCGAAACCCAACGAAAUCCUUCAACCUCCCCUCACAUUGCUCACCAUUUCAAAGCCUUCAGUAAAUGGACACAGAAGGAACAACUUCAAAGGAACACGAAAACAUUAAAUGGAUACAGAGAGAGCUUCGGAGAGAAACGAAAAUCUAUAAUGGAGCAAAAAGAGAGAGAGUGGUUAAAGAGAGUGUUUCGAAGAAGAAAUACUGAUUCAAACCACUGAGGGUGUUUUUGGAACAACACAAAAUCUCCUUUUUCAAAUCAUUAUUUUAAUUAAAAGAAAAAAUUAAAUCACCCAAUAGAUUGCUGACACGUGGCAUUGUCAAAUUGUUGUCAAAAUUUGGUUAACAUAUCGGGAUCUUUUUUUUUUUUACAUUUUUUUGGUUAAUUUUUUAUUAGUUAUGCUUAUAUUAUAUCCCUGAGUGUGUUUGGAAGUGUAUUUUGAAUUACUCAAUAAGAUGUUUUGAAAUGUUCAAUUCAAAAUAUAUUUCUGGAUUCAAUAAUAUAUAUCAUAUUCCAAAACCUAUUACCUAUAUACCUCAUCUCUACCAUAGAAGUUGUGGGACUACGUUAAACCAAAAAGGUAACAUGUAGAUUAACUUCUUAUAUUUUAUUAUAAAUUUAGAAGGACAAUAUGGUAAAAUGUUUAAUUUAGGAAAAGUGCAGAGAAAAAAAAUAAGAAAAAGAUUCCUUACUAUAGGCUAAAAACAAAACUUUUACUUUUGCACCCAUUGUUUUUCUUCUCCCACUUACAAUACAGAAAAUGUUUUCUCUGUUCCUUUUUUUUUUUUUACUAAGAUGACAUUAUGUACACCUUUAUUACACAUAUAAAUUUUUAAAAAGGUGAGAAUUUUAUCCCCCGAAUAACCGAAUUUUGACUUUGUUUUCGUUAUCUCAUAUUAAAAUGUUAGAAUUUUGUUUAUGAGGUUCUGAACUAAAUUUUUAGAUUUUUAGAUUUUUUAUUAUCCAUAAUUGAUAUAAUUUUUAGUUAUAUAAUUCAAAUAAAAUACUUAAAAUUAUCAAUUAUUACAUUAAUUUUUAUAUUUUAUUUUUUACUAUUAAAUUGAUUUGAAAAAUUAAAUCAUUUAUUAGAAAUAAAAGUUUAAUUACUUAUUAUAGAUAAUAUAUGAUGACUCUAUUUACACAAAUUUAUUUAUUUAUUCAUUUAAUCUAUUUGAAACUUAACAUAUUAUAUUAUAUCUAAUUAUUAUAAAAAAUUUAAUAAUAACUUAAAUUAAUAUAUACAAAAUAUUUUAAUAAUUUAUUAUUAUUUAUUAUUAUUAUUCUAAUUGAAAACCUAACAUAUAAAAUUAAUCAGUUCUAUAAAAUUAUAUUAUCAAACAUUAAAUAUAAAUAAAAAUAUACAGUACAUUGUUUGAUAGAAAUACUAGUUAAAUCUACAUAAGAAUAAAAGUGUGUAUCAGAAAAUAAAAACUUACAAUAUUAUCCUAUAUUUAACAAAUUUCAAUGAUAUUAAGUGUGACAUUAAUAUUGGAGCGAUUGAGAAAAACUGAGAGAGAAAUCUAAAUGAGUCAUGUAAUUUGGAGCUUGCUGUUUCCAGGAGAUACUGCGCUGCUCUGGUUAAUUAGUUUCCUUACUUUUCUUAUGUAUCAAAGUAGAUGAUACAUUUUUACAUUUAUCUUAUAUAAAGUAUAAAGAUAAAAAUAUUAUAAAAAUAUAAUUUUUUAUAUUUAAAAAAAAAUAAUAUCAACUUAAAAAUCUUUAAUAUGUAAAAUAAUCAUUUUUCAUUAUGAAAUGGUUGUUGUGAUGGUGACAUAGUGGUAAGCUAACAGUUUUUCUUGUCACUGUCAUUAACAGUUUUUCUAGUCACUGUCAUCUCCUGUUUAAGGUUGUUUUGUCUUGUGUCAUUUUCACCUAUGUUGAAAUAUUAGGCUUCCUUUAUUUCUUUGUUUUUCAAAAUCAUGAUUUUGGGUUUGGCUCAAUUGUAAAUAGCCCAAAGCUUGGAAUGAUCAAGAUCUCUUUUAAUCCAAAAUCGAUCUUUAAAUUUAAGAUUAUAUAUUCAAGAUUUUAGUUUUUGUUUACUGUAUCAUUAGAGAUGAAUUCAUAAAUUAUAAGUUGUAACUUUUUAAAUUCUGUUUAUGUAAUCUAUAGAGAAUAUUGAUAAAAAAAAUAAUUGCAUUAUCUUCACGUCUUCAUGUAAAAUAUUUAAAGAUUCAAUUAAAUAAAAAAAAUAAACAUUAAAUUAUUAAUUAAAUUUAUUCUACUCAUAUAUGAUCACAUUAAUGCAUAAUAAAAUCCAAUUAAACCAAAAAUAAAUUGAUAUUAAAAUUAAUCUAAAUCUAAAAUAUAAGAAUCAAAAUAAUAAUUAAAACUAUUUAAAUAAUAAUGAAAAUUAUAAAGUUAUGGCCAAAGUCGGUGCGAUGAGUGAUAACCUAAGGUGCAACUCUAAUAUGACCCAUGCAAAUAAUGGAAAACGAAAUUCAUACACGUGACCGCACUUAGGAUAAUUUUCCUACAAACAUAAUUAUGUAUAAUUUUCCUAGUAACAUAAUUAUGUAAGGGAAAACUACAGACUGCACAUGCAAUUGUUGGGCAGCUUAUAACAAAUUAAUAUAAAUAUAUUUAAAUAAAAUAAUAUUAUUGAAAGUACCAAAAGCUUUAAAAAGUUUUUAAGAGACAUACUCUUCAAUGAAUUAUACAGAAAAUAAGAUUAAAAUGUGCAUAUUAUGGUGUUUUAGUAAUUUUAUUUUAAAUUUGUUACAUUCAUUUCAUAUUAUUUUUUAUUAUAUCCUUUUUUAAAAUACAGUUUUUAUUUUAUUUUAAUGUACAAUAUCAGAUAAAUCUGAAUAUAUAUUACCUAAAAAGAUGUGUAAUGCAUAAAAAAAAAAAAAAGUGUCAAUAUUGCAUAGAUAAAUAACAAAGCGCGUGUGGUUUAGUGUUACAACGUGAAAGGGGGAGAGAGAUUUACAGGGACAAAACAUCUUGUCAAAUGCAAUAAAAACGUGUCAUAGUAUUAUUCUUUUUUGGGAAUGAUAUUUUCACACUCCAAUAAUUAUGCAUCUAUUACUUCAUUCCUUUUCUUUUUCUUAUAAAGUAUACAAAUUAACUUUCUCUUUAACAAUCACAUUACUCUCAAUAUCAUUGCUUUGAUAUUGAUAGACCUAUUCUUAGAGGUAAAAGAGGUAAAUUAUGAAAAAAGAAAAAGUAAGAGAAAUUAGCGAAUAUAUUAUAUAGACUUAUGGAGUCUUAAAAUGUCAUUACUCUUUCUUUCGAUCUUAAACUUGGAUUACUUUAAUUUAUUCUAAGUUAACUUCAAAUAAUUUAUACUUAAUGUACACUGUAAUUUAACUUAAUCAAAAUGAAAUCUUUAUCAAAUAUAAUAAUAUAUAAUAUAAUUUCAAGUUACAAAGUAAAACAAACACAAUAAAAAUAUUAUUAUUUUAAAUUGUGAAAUAUUAAAAAAAUUACAGCAUCAAUUUAUAAGCACUUAUAUUUUAUCUGACAAAGUCAUUUGGCCUAUAUAUACAAGGGCAAUGAUGCAUAGCCAAAACAAGCCAGUGGUAUCCUUAGAAGUAUGGCUAUCCAACAAUCUCUGCUAGACAAGCCUAGAAAUUCUAUUUCCAAAACAAUCUGUUUAGUCUUUUCUGUAGCUGCUGUCAUAUGUUCAUCAGCCUUUGUUGGUUCCUAUCUCAUCAAAUCCAGUUCCUUCCUUAACCAGUCCCCUCUUCAACAUCUCUGUCGCCAUGCACUUGAUAAUCCAUCAUGCUUAGCACAUGUCUCGGAAGUGCUUCAAGAUCCCAUCUUGACCACCACAAAAGACUACAACUUGAAUUUGUUCCACUCUUUCUUAAUGAAAUCCACCUCUCACAUUCAGAGAGUUAUGAACACAGUCAGUUCCAUCAAACUUAGGAUUAACAAUCCCCGAGAGGAAGCAGCUUUGAACGACUGUGUGGAGCUGAUGGACUUAUCCAUCAACAGAGUUUGGGACUCGAUCGUGACUCUAACGAAAGAAACCGAUGAGUCACAGCAAGAUGCACACACAUGGCUAAGUAGCGUGCUCACUAACCAUGCAACUUGUUUGGAUGGGUUAGAGGGGACAGCUCGAGCCCUUAUGAAGGAUGAACUCGAGGACUUGAAAUCCAGAGCGAAAACCACUCUGGCCAUGUUCGUUGCUGUUGUACCUCAGAGGGUUGAACCAAUCAUGGAUGAACCACUGAACGGGGAGUUUCCCUCAUGGUUGAGCAGCAAGGAUAGGAAGCUUUUGGAGUCCAGUGCUUUGAAGAUCAAUGCGAACGUUGUGGUGGCCAAGGAUGGGAGUGGCAAGUUUAAGAGUGUAGCUCAGGCUGUGGCAUCUGCACCUGAUAACGGGAAGACAAGGUAUGUUAUUUACGUGAAAAAAGGAACAUAUAAAGAGAAUGUUGAAAUCAGUAGUAAGAAGACGAACGUGAUGCUGGUUGGAGAUGGUAAGGAUGUAACUAUAAUUACUGGGAGCUUGAAUUAUAUUGACGGAACCACCACGUUUAAGUCCGCCACUGUAGGUAUGAAUCUUUCCCAAUUUAUUCUACUCAAUGGAAUAUUUAUAUAUAUGCAUUAAACUAUUAUUUUCCAAGGCUUUAAAAAAGAAACCAUUGGUUGUGACUUGUAAAAAUUGAAACUAAGUAGUAGCAUGGGUUUGCAGCUGCUGUGGGGGAUGGAUUUAUAGGUCAAGACAUAUGGUUCCAGAACACUGCAGGUCCACAGAAGCACCAAGCAGUGGCUCUUCGAGUAGGUGCGGAUCGAUCCGUCAUAAACCGAUGCCGCAUUGAUGCCUUCCAAGACACUCUGUAUGCCCACUCUAACAGGCAGUUUUACAGAGACUCCUAUAUCACUGGCACCAUUGAUUUCAUAUUUGGAAAUGCAGCGGUUGUGUUUCAAAAGUGCAACAUUGCGGCCCGAAAGCCCAUGAGUAACCAGAAGAACAUGGUGACGGCCCAGGGACGAGAAGAUCCAAACCAGAACACAGGAACUUCGAUUCAACAAUGUAAUAUAAUACCAAGUUCGGAUCUGAAGCCUGUGGUAGGGUCCAUCAAGACUUUCCUAGGGCGGCCAUGGAAGAAGUACUCGAGAACCGUUGUGAUGCAGUCCACAAUAGAGAGCCAUGUUGACCCAACAGGAUGGGCAGAGUGGGAUGCCCAGAGUAAGGACUUUUUGAACACGUUGUAUUAUGGAGAGUACAUGAACAAAGGAGCUGGUGCUGGUACCGGCAAGAGGGUGAAGUGGCCUGGUUACCAUGUCAUCAAAAGUGCAGCAGAAGCCAGCAAGUUCACGGUAACACAGCUUAUUCAAGGAAAUGUUUGGCUGAAGAACACCGGGGUCAACUACAUCGAAGGCCUCUAAAAUGAAGUCUUUUUAGCAUGUGCGACCCAUCUGGGGUUGUACGAAGUUUCGGUGAAUGUACGAUGUGAUGUUUCAUCUAAAAUAAUGUUCUGUCUCUGGGACUUCCAUUGUGCUUCCUUGUUUGCUGUUCAUGUUUCUCCCCUUAUGGAUAUCUUUAUCCAAAAAUCAAACAUCUUAAAAAGAAAAAAAAAAAUGAUUGAGAAAUUCUUACCACACAAAUGACAGUCUCUUUCUCUGUAAACAUAAUGGUUGAAGGUAAAACAAUCUAGAACACGAAAAAAUCACUAAUAAAUAAAAAUAUUAAAUUGUAAAUAUUUCAAUAACUGUUAGAACAACUUAUUGACGCAGUGACAUAAAUAAUUGGUGUUUUUUCUUUCUUCAUUUGAUUUGUAUUCUUACAUUUGUUGUUGAGUUUGUGUUUUUCGUUAAGAAUAAUCAAGCUUAUCGACGACAUUAUACAUCACUCAUAGCUGUAAAGCUCAUCCACAACAGCAACACAAAUUAUUUUCUCUUCUUCGACUUUCUUUCUUUUCCUACUACAAGACUCCACAAUGUGUCACUCACGUGAGCUUGAUUAGACUUUCUGGUUAUCCUAAUUUUUGUGUAUUUGGAUUUUUUAUUGUCCUCAAUUUUACAAAUUGUGAUUUUUUAUUAGAUUAAGAUUUUUACAAAUAUGAAUUUUGUAGUGCAAACUAGGUUAUCAAUCCAGAGAUAAAAAUAAUGAAUAAAAAAAAGGAAGAAAAGAGUCACAAUAUUGAAAAAUAAAAAAAGGAAAUUAUAAGUCAAUUUUUUUUUUAUCUCGCCUAAACACUUCGGUUGUUGAAUAAAAAGAUAAUAUCCAAAUAACCAAUAUUAAAUUCCUUCCAUGCACUACUACUAUACUCUUAUAACUUUAUUAUUUUAGUUACUACUUUUAAUACAGUAUAUUUGAUUGUUAAUCUUAACACACAUUAAAUCUUUUAUCAAACUUUAAGUAAAUUAAACAUAUUUUCUUCUAAACAUAUAGUAUUCUUGCUAAUUAGUAUAAAAAUUAAGAUAUAAUAGUAUAAUGGUGAAAUAAAUAGUGUAAUAUAGAAAUAUUAAAAAUAAAAAUGUUAUAAAUAGUAUAAUGAUUAAAAUAAAUAUGGUAUAUAAAAAUAUUUAAAAUACAUUUAUUAUCAAUAUGUUACAAUAAAAGGGUAAGAAUAAGAAAAUGUAAUUAAAAGGUAAAAAUAAUAAGAGAAAGCACAAAAAUAAAAUUCAAUCAAUUCGUAUAAAAAUCAUUUAAUAAAUAUUUUAUGAACAAAAUGAAUAAUGUAAAAACUAACGUUUUCAUGAAGCUUUAAUUGAUUAAAACUACAUUUUCAUUUGUUAAUUUAUUUAUAUAGGAAAACAAAAGAUUGUUUUUUAUUUGCAUUUUCUAUUUAAAAAAAUUGAAAGUAAAAACAUUAUAGUACUUUUGUAAUUCACGUGUGAAAACAGAAGAGGAAAAAUAAAAUAAAGAUAAGUCUCUUAAAUGUUAAAUGAUGCAAGAGCUUCAGUCUUUUGGAUGUAAGUGCCAUUCAGUUAUACAUUUAUUAGUUUCUUGUCAAACUUGGAGCUACUGGAACUGUCACAUGAAAGCUGUAGUAAUUGGUUCCUUUAUUAGAACAUGGUUUGUUGAGUUUGGUUUUGAAUUUAAUAUCUAGAGAUUAUGAGAAAUUUUAAUUAGUAUAAGUUUAUGUGAGACCACAGAGUCUUAAACUUGAUUAAUAUUUGGAUAUUACAUAACACUUUAAAUGCGAAAUAAAAAACAUUUAAUUAUAUAAUUAAAUUAUAAAUAAUAUUUAGAAAUCAUAUAAAAUCUCAUCAUUAAAUAAUAGAUUUUUAAAAUAUACGAGAACCACUUAAUACAAAAUAAGAAGUCACUACAAUUCUUUUUUAUAUCACCCAUGUAAUUUUGUUGGUUCAUUAUAUUCAUUCGUCGUGUGUGUGUAUAUAUUACAAACAUAAAAGGAGGUAUUGUUUCUAAAUAGAAUUUUAAAAAAAGAGAUAUAAAUAAAAACUGUGUAUUAUAAAUAUAAAUUUUUUAUUAUGAAGGACGAAAAUAGUCUCCUUUUAUUUUGAUGGCAUGAAAACCACUCAUCUAAUUUUAUUUAUUAAAAUAUUUUUUUUUAAUCUAUUUGUUUUCGCUAUGAAUUGAGAUUAUCAAUUCACUGAAUUUUGUAUGUUUUAGUGUUUAUUUUAUUAUCGCUCGUUCUUGAGAUCGUUAAAUCAAAUUAGUAAAUUGUUUAUAAAAAGAUUCAAUAAAUUUAGAAAGUGGAUAUUAAUUCUAACUCAAUCUCACAAAAUCGGUUUGUAAAGUGAGGUUUGCACCUCACUUAUAUAUUAUAAAAUGGUCUUAUCUUUAGUCGAUGUGAGACUUUCAACACACUCCUUUCACGUCAAGGUAUAGACAUCUCGUGCGUGAUAAUAGAAAUUGGAUGGUUUAAUAGUAGUUCAAUAGCAGAUGGAACAAAAAUGUCUAAAAAGUUAAAAUAUCACUAUCAUAUUUAGUCUUAUCUCUUGUCGAUAUAAAACUUUCGAUAAUAAUCUUAUUUUAUAAUAAGUUUUCAUCGAAUUUAAUUAUUACUUAAGUUAAUAACUCUAAGUUUAUCUAAAAUUUCUGAUUAAAUGAUCAUAAAUAAGCCAGACGACCAUAAAGUAUACUUUCAUAAACAAAUUUUAAUUUUAAUUUUAAUUUUAAUUUAAGAUUCAUAUCGUUUUUAUCCUUAUCCAAACACGAAACACAAUUAUUUAAGAAAAAACAUUCACUCCUUCUUCCAAUUCUAUCUCCAAUCCAAAGGUGGAGCUCAACUUUAGACAUGUAUCGGUGGGAAAAGACAACUUUGCCGGAUUUGCAAUCAUCGUACUCCACUAUCACAUGUUCAAUGGUACGAAGGAAUCUUUUGCUUUUUGUGGCAGCCUACAAUUAUUUUAUUCUCGUACAAGGUCCUCAACUACCUAUUUUUUAGGAUGUGAACUAAUUUUAAUAAACCGAAGAAGUAUAAAUAUAAAAUGUUUAGCUUUGGAUGGAGUAUUUGGUGAACCGAACUUUAUUUCAUGUUAUUGUAUAAUUUUUCUGUCAAUCAUUUUAUUUUUCUUACAUGGUGAUUAAUAAAAGGGGAUCCAUUUUUCUUACAUAAUUUUUUAUUACUUUUAUCUAAUUAUUUAUUUAAACUUAAAUGUUUUUUAAAUUAAAAUAUUUUUUUAUUUAAAUUUAAUUAUUUUCUUAACUACUUACAAUAAUAGGAAAAUGUAAAAAAAAAAUAAUAUAUAUAUAUAUAUACACACACAUAUAUGUUUUUACUAUAAUAUUUUAAAACUAAAUAUUAUUUUUAAAUAAUCAAUUAUUAAUAAACUUCAUGAACCUUCGAACUUUUCGGUAAAAGUAUUCGAAAUUUACAGUUCGAAAGACAGAAAUCCUAUUUCGAUAAACGAAACAUGAAAAUAUAAAAGAUAAUCUAAGUAUAAUUAACGAGUUUGUGCCUUGACAUUUACUUCGUGUUAGACGUGUUAGAGUAUUAUUUAAAUGUUAAUGAGUCGCUAAACAAAACUAUUUUUUUAUUUAUUUAACGGAUUUUAGUGACCUUUAAAAAAUAAAUAAGUUUGUCAUACUAAUCUUAUUUGUUUUUAUUCUUCAUUUGAAUGAUUUUUUUUUUCAAUCAUAUGUGAUUUUAUGAGGAAAGAAGAAGGAAAUUUUGCACGAGCAGUGCUUCUUUUUUUAAUGACAAGACGAUAAGCAAACUUAGAGUUGGAAAAUAAAAAAUUGUGAACCUAUUAAUUCAUUGGAGGUCUUUAACAAAAGUUAAUUGUUCAACUCACUAAUAAAUGUAGAAAUGCAUUAUUAUAAACAAUGAUUCACCUUCAUGGAACAAAUAUAUCUUAAAAUUAAUAAUAUUACUAUGCUAAUUUAUUAUAUACUUAAAACUAUAAUUUUUCUCACUUUAAUCACCUUGGUGAUUUAUAAAAUAUUUUUUUGUCACUUUAAUUUUUUUUAGUUAUAGAAGAUCGUAUUAUUUUGUUUGUUUGAGAUGGUAAAAUGAAAGAAUCAUAUCGUCUUAAUUAAUAAUAGAGAUUUAAUUAAAAAAUAUAAAAAAUUUAAAUAUAAUAGAAUUAAAUAAUUUUUUUUUUAAAUUCUGUAUAUGAAAACAUGUAAAUAAUGUCAAUGUAAAGUAACGACAUUCCUAUUAUUAAGUUUUUUUAAAAACACGAUUUUAUCUAGCUCUUUUAAAAACUUUAUUCUAAGGAGAAUUGGAAAAGUAUUAAAUUCAUAUAACGUUUUUUUAAAAUGAUAAAUUACUAAAAUAAUUUAAUGGCAAAUUCAAAUUAAAAUAUUUGACAUUGAAACUUUAUAAAUAAUAAAAAAAAGAGGUUUGAAUAUGACCUUAUUUGAUGUAGGACGAUAAUUUAAAAACGACAAGAAGCAAAAGAAAAAUGUGCAUAUAUUGAGAAAUUGGACGCUACUGACACACUGAUUGUGAAUAUCGGAAAGAACCUAGGAAUCUUACGUACGAUGGGUAUGGUGAAAUUAAGGGAAGAAAAAUAAUAUUUUAAAAUUCACAAAUUGUGAUACGUCGGCAGUAGUGAAAAAAAAAAACAAAAAAACAAAAGAGUAAAAAUCCUUCUAUGCAAUGUUUACUCUAACAAUUUUUUGAUAAUCUAUAUGUGUAAUUUGUGAUUAGUUUAUUUUUUAAAUAUAAAUUCAAAUAAACUAAUAAAAUAAUAAUACGUAUUUCGUUGUAAUUAAAAAAAAUUGUUAAAUUAUGAUGAUCCAAAGUUUAAUAAUAAUGCAGUGUUUCUCGUAAGGCAUCAUAUGCAUGUCCCCUCACAACCCUGCAAUAAAAUCUACACCCACAAGAAAAUUUUAGUUAAUUUUUUCAACAAUGUUAAUGAUAAAAUAUUUUUUAUUUAGUAGAUAUUUUGUUUAAAAGAGAAUUCAUUAUUGAGGUAAAAGUUGGAAAAAGUCCAAAAUAAAGGUUGAACGAUUUGUAACAUUUGAACUUGUAAACCUUAAUUACCAAUUAAACUAUAUAAAAAAAAAGCAAAAGUUUAGUUUUUUGAGCACAGCGUUAACAAUUAUAGAAAUUUUGUUCUCCUCAAAAGCAUAUGUCUAUUUUAUAUCAAAUCAUGUUUAAAUUAAUUAGAUUUCUUUCGAAGGAAUUGAUAUUGUCUACUUGGUCAACUAAGAUACAUUUUCGUGAGAAUAAUUAAAAAAAUUGUUUGCUUUUACGAUAAUUGAAUCUAUUAACUUUCAAUUCAAAUGCUUUAAAAAUAAGUUUAUACAUUUUAAUUACAUGAUUUUUCGUUUAGUAUAGUUUCAUAGAGAUACAAUAAUAUAUAUUUAUCAAUUUAAAAUUUUAUGCUGUUUGAUUAAUAUUCUUUUUAUUUUGUUAACUCAUACUGAAUAUUAAAUUUUGUCUUAGUCAAAUUCUUAAAUUAAGAUUUAAGUUAUACGACAAAGUUGUAAGUAAAACAUGUCCGUUUGUUACUCUAACAAUCUAAAUUUGAGAUAUAUAAAAUUUUGUGAGUAAAAAAUAAUUAUUAACUCGUUUUACAAAUAAUUUUGUAAUAUUAAAUUAAAUUUAAAAUUUAAAAAAUAUAUUUUAAUUGAAUAACUUUUAUGUUUUAUAUAUAAACAUUUCUUUAUUUAUUAAAUAAUAUAAAAACCUUAUGAAAUUAAUAUCAUUCAAAAACAAAACAUUAAAAUAGUGAGUUUAUGAGUCUUUUAUUUCAAUAAUGUUUAACUUUAUCAUUUUUAUAUAAUAUGAUUAUGAUAAAUAGAUAAAUUCUACAUAAUUUUGAUAUCAUAUAAAAAAUAAAUUUUACAUAUAAUUUAACCGUACAUAAUUAACUUCGUAAAGUAAUUUUGCAGUUAUUUAUACACUAUAAAUUCAAAAAUUUAAUUUUUUUUUUAAUAUAAGAUUUCAACAAAAUAUUUAAAAAUUUAACUAGCAUGAUGCGAUACCCUUGAAACAAAUCAGUCUUCUCUUGCAUUACAUAUGUUUUAAGAAAAUAUUUAUAAGAUUUUGUAACUUAUUCUUUUAAUUUUUAUAAAUACAUGCAAUUUAUUAAAUUAUAUAAAAAUAAAAAUAAUAAAAGAGAAAUCGAUAUUGUAUUAAACUUAAAAUCACUAAUAUCAACCUUUAGAAAAUAUGAUGGUUGAAAAGAUAAAAAAGAGAGUCUAAUAUGCACUCUUGGAAUGUACAUGACAUGUUCAUAGGCUUGCAUACGAGGACUGUCGGUCAUCCUUUUUAAUAAUGUUGAAGUUUUAAACAUAAGUUGAAAUAUAAAAAAAUCAAGAUAUAUUUGGAUAAUAUAAGAGUUGUUUUAAAUACCUUAAACUAACAUCUAAGUAUAUAAAUCAGAUGAGAUGAGCUUUGAGUAGGGUUCAUCGUGCUCAUAAACUAUUUUUCGAAACAAAGUAAAUUAUAUAAAAAAUGACACGAUUGGCAUAUAUAAUUAAUUGAUACAGGUGCAAUAAAAUAAUAAAAAAAUAAUAAUGAAAUAUUUGAGAAAAAUAUAUUCAUAGAUAAAUAACGCUUAAAAAGGUAAAGUUGUAAAUUUUUAGGAAAUUUAUCUUUAUUAGUAAAAAUACGUUAGAGAUGGUUGAAUACACAAAUAUAUUAGAUGUUAAUAGCUUGGAGAUUUUUUUUUUUAUUUUUUUAUAGAAACAACACAAUAAGCUAGUGUUAAUUUCUAGUACACCUUUAGAAAAUUUGAAACCCUAUUAAAAAUAAAUUAAUUUAUUUGUUUGUGAUUAUACUUCAUCUUGUUUAUUUUGUACACAUAUUAUAUCAUUAUACAGAAACAUUGUACAAGCAUAAUGAUUAGGUAUUUGAAGAAAUAUGCUGUGGACAAGUUAUUCCAUAUAACUUUUUAAAAUCUACAGAAAUUAGGUGAUUCAGAUCGUGCUCAUUGACUUUAAAAAGUUACCAUUUGUUCCAUAUUUGAACACCUUUUUAAAACGGAAAAAGUAUUUUUACCAAUUUUUUUUAAUAAUUUUUUUAUAAUAUUGUAAUUAGUUUGUUUUAAAUAUUUUUUUAAAUAUAAAUUUAAAUAAAUCAAUAAAAUAAUGACACAUAUCUCAUCAUAAAAAAAAAUUAUUAAAAAAUAUGAUCAAAAUAUCAUCGUCUUUUUAAAAAUGACUUUUGUAAGCUCACUUAUAAAAUCUUAUAAUUAUUACAAAGAAAUAUGCAUAUACAUAUAUAUAUAUAUAUAUAUAUAUAUAUAUAAUUUAUACAAUCAAAAGAAAAGAAUCUCAUGUUUUACCACUCAGUAUUGUUGUAGCGUCUUCUUCCUUCAGAUCUUUUGUUAUCCUCCUCAUCAUGAACUUUGCAGCAUCUACUGAUCGGAUAAUAAAGGAGUGGUAUUUUGCAAACUGGGGGGCCUGCAACUGAUGUUUCUUGUUCAAUCGGGAAAAAGUAUUUAUUAGGUGAAGUAAAAAAAAAAAAAAAGUUAUAAGAAAGUCCAUACUUGCAUCACUGUAAAACUAAAGUCAGAAGCAAGUCACAUGGUAUCCUCGUUAAUUAAGAACGAGUGGUUGAAUUCAUCCGACUAUAAGUACGGUGAAGCAAAGAACAGAUAAGCAAGAGCAGACACACGGAGAAGCAUGGCAACACACCAAUCUCUGUUAGACAACCCUAGAAAAUCCGUUUCCAAAACUACAUGCUUAAUCUUCUCUCUAGCUGUUGUGCUAACUUCAUCAGCUCUUAUUGCUUCCUAUCUCACAAAACCUUCCCCCUUAUUCAACCAUGGCAUCUCUCGCCGUGUUUGUGAUCAUGCAAUUCAUCCUUCAGCCUGCUUGGCACAUGUCAUGGAAGUCGUACAAGAUCCGAAGUUCGGUGCCACACAAAACCACAGAUUCGGAUUGCUGCAAUCCUUUUUAAUGAAAUCCACGUCACACAUUGAGAGAGUGAUAGGGGCAGCCAACGCUAUGAGGGUGAGGAUGAACAGUCCAGGAGAAGAAGCCGCCAUGCAGGAUUGCGUGGAGCUGAUGGAGUUGUCCUUGGACAGAGUUUGGGACUCAAAGGCCAGCCUAACCAAAGGGACGACUGAUUCGGCGCAAGAUGCCCACACUUGGCUAAGCAGCGUGCUCACUAAUCAUGUAACUUGCUUGGACGGACUGAAGGGGCGAGCUCGACGGCUGAUGGAGGCAGAGGUUCAGGACUUGAUAUCGAGAGCAAGAAGCUCUUUAGCCAUGUUCGUUGCUGUUUUGCCUCCAAAUCCAGAGGUUGAAGUCGUGUCGCUAAAUGGGAAGUUUCCGUCAUGGGUGAGAAGCAAGGAUCGGAGGCUGUUAGAGUCUUCAGCCGGAGAGAUCAAGGCGAACGUUGUGGUGGCUCAGGACGGGACUGGUGACUUUUUUACUGUUGCUGAAGCUUUGGCCACGGUACCCAAUAAAAGCAAGAAGAGGUAUAUUAUUCAUGUGAAGAACGGAACAUAUUUUGAGAAACUUGAAAUUGGUAAGAAACAGAAGAACGUCAUGCUGGUGGGUGACAGCAUGGAUUUAACUAUAAUCACCGGAAACGUGAGCGUCACCAAAGAAACGGGCACCUUUCACACUGCUACUGUUGGUAUGGAUCUUCUUUUUUUUAGAAAAGAAAAUUUUGUACACCUAUUGGGCCUAUUAAAACUUAACCUGUUAAUAAUGGGUUUUUGCAGCGGCGGUUGGGGAUGGGUUCAUAGCCCAAGAUAUUUGGUUUAAAAAUUUUGCAGGCGCAGAAAAGCACCAGGCAGUUGCACUUCGCGUGGGCGCUGAUCAAUCCGUGAUAAAUCGUUGCCGCGUGGACGCAUAUCAAGACACGCUCUACGUCCAUUCCAACAGACAGUUCUACCGCGACUCCUACGUUAAGGGCACCGUUGACUUCAUUUUUGGAAACGCAGCUGCCGUCUUCCAGAACUGUACGCUGGAGGCCCAAAAGCCCAUGAAAGGUCAGAAAAACAUGGUGACAGCCCAAUCACGAACAGAUCCAAACCAAAACACAGGAAUUUCAAUUCAACAGUGUAACAUCUCCCCCAGCGAGGAUCUUAGGCCCGUCAUAGGGUCUUUCAAAACAUAUUUGGGCCGCCCGUGGCAGAACUUCUCGAGGACUGUUGUUAUGCAAUCCUUUCUGGACGAGCAUAUUGACCCAGAGGGAUGGUCGGAAUGGGAUGAGAAACAUAAAAGCUAUUUGGAAACCCUGUAUUAUGGAGAGUACAUGAACAGAGGACCUGGUGCCGGUACCGGUGGAAGAGUGAAUUGGACCGGUUACCACAUCAUCACAAGUGCGGCCGUAGCCAACCAGUUCACGGUGAAAAACCUCAUCCAAGGCGAUGUUUGGUUGAAGAACACUGGGGUCAAC
rnacentral:lncRNA from 1 species